rnacentral:misc_RNA from 1 species
UUUAAUUCUGCGUUAGAUUCAGACGCUGACGGACGGACGGCAUAAAGGCGACGCCGGGGCGCCGAAGCACGGAUCGCAUCCACGGGUUUGAGGUUUUGAGGGCCCGACCGGGCCGUUCAAUAAUGAUCCCUCCGCAGGUUCACCUACGGAGA